GUUGUCGUUCGUAUGCCGACCACGAGUCGGUGGCCAUCUUGGACGUACGAAUGCCCAGCGGUGUUCGCUGACCUCCCUUCUUCUGUUAAUCCAGCAUUCGAACGCCGUCUCGUUUGGUACUUUUUCGGCACGAAUGGACUUACCCCAGAUAGCUAUGCCAUGGAGCCCAUUCGUAUAAUGAAAGACUAUGUGAAAGACUUUGGC